rnacentral:rRNA from 1 species
AGUGAACGCUGGCGGUAGGCCUAACACAUGCAAGUCGAACGGCAGCACAGUAAGAGCUUGCUCUUACGGGUGGCGAGUGGCGGACGGGUGAGGAAUACAUCGGAAUCUACUUUUUCGUGGGGGAUAACGUAGGGAAACUUACGCUAAUACCGCAUACGACCUACGUGUGAAAGCAGUGGAUCUUCUGACCUUGCGCGAUUGAAUGAGCCGAUGUCGGAUUAGCUAGUUUGCGGGGUAAAGGCCCACCAAGGCGACGAUCCGUAGCUGGUCUGAGAGGAUGAUCAGGCACACUGGAACUGAGACACGGUCCAGACUCAUACGGGAGGGAGCAGUGGGGAAUAUUGGACAAUGGGCGGAAGCCUGAUCCAGCCAUACCGAGUGGGUGAAGAAGGCCUUCGGGUUGUAAAGCUCUUUUGUUGGGAAAGAAAAGCAGCAGGUUAAUACCACGCUGUUCUGACGGUACCCAAAGAAUAAGCACCGGCUAACUUCGUG